AGUGAACGCUGGCGGUAGGCCUAACACAUGCAAGUCGAACGGCAGCACAGUAAGAGCUUGCUCUUACGGGUGGCGAGUGGCGGACGGGUGAGGAAUACAUCGGAAUCUACUUUUUCGUGGGGGAUAACGUAGGGAAACUUACGCUAAUACCGCAUACGACCUACGGGUGAAAGCAGGGGAUCUUCGGACCUUGCGCGAUUGAAUUAGCCGAUGUCGGAUUAGCUAGUUGGCGGGGUAAAGGCCCACCAAGGCGACGAUCCGUAGCUGGUCUGAGAGGAUGAUCAGCCACACUGGAACUGAGACACGGUCCAGACUACUACGGGAGGCAGCAGUGGGGAAUAUUGGACAAUGGGCGCAAGCCUGAUCCAGCCAUACCGCGUGGGUGAAGAAGGCCUUCGGGUUGUAAAGACCUUUUGUUGGGAAAGAAAAGCAGCAGGUUAAUACCCCGCUGUUCUGACGGUACCCAAAGAAUAAGCACCGGCUAACUUCGUG
rnacentral:rRNA from 1 species